UACGUAGGGACCAAGCGUUGUUCGGAUUUACUGGGCGUAAAGGGCGCGUAGGCGGCAAUUCAAGUCAGCUGUGAAAUCUCCGAGCUUAACUCGGAACUGUCAGCUGAUACUGUUUUGCUAGAGUGCGGAAGGGGCAAUCGGAAUUCUUGGUGUAGCGGUGAAAUGCGUAGAUAUCAAGAGGAACACCUGAGGUGAAGACGGGUUGCUGGGCCGACACUGACGCUGAGUGCGCGAAAGCCAGGGGAGCAAACGGG
rnacentral:rRNA from 1 species